CUUCUUUUGCCAUAGAAUGAAAUGGCGCUUGACAUCUCCAAGUCUUUUCUCCCCUUCAGGUGUAGCAAUGUCAAUCUCCAGGUCCUCAAACCCUUGGACUAUGUCCUCCACCGUGACACGAGCAUAGCCAUCUUGAAUGGGGUUGUUGUGGUGGAGUGCUCCAGGUAAACAUGGUAAAGCACUGCCGAUGGCUACCUUCAUGGACAUGUUCCCGAUAGGAUAAUACAGAUGACAUUCUUUCAUCUCCUUUAUAUCGUCCACGGGGUAGNNNNNNNNNNGGGUAGAAAUAAAUCACUUACAGAACGUAGCAACUGAUGAUAGAUUUGUCGAGCUCGCGCAGAUUGAAAAGCUGGAACAAUUCACUCAGAUGAAUUUGUACAUAGUAAUGUUUGAAGUGAUGCUCAUAUCUAACUUCCGCAUAAAUAUAUUCUUUGGCAUUUUUAUUUUUUAUGUAACCCUUGUACCAUUUCAGCAGACCUUUCAUUUGUGGAGGUAGAUCCUCUUCCUGCGCAGGCUCGACGAGAGGCCCAUUCUUCACAUAUGUAAUUACUACCUCCUUCACUGGCGCCUCAUCAAGGCCUAACAGUUCACGAAGAGUAAUACCUAAGUUGGCCGCUUGUUCUCUGGCACUCGUUACAGUCAAUCCAUGUGCUGCCGCAGCUGCUAUGAUAUCGGGGUCAUCCGGACCAGCGGCUUUCACUAUAAGCGGGGCAAUCGAUUGUUUACUUUGUUCCCCGAGCUGGGCAACUCGUUUCCCGCUUUUUUUUACUUUCUAAUUCCGUUUUCUCGGCCUCCUCCAAGGCUUUGUUCUCCUGGUUCUCCGCCCGCUCUUUCUUCUCCUUCAACAUGAGUGCCUGCCUACGAAGUUCACGUGCAUAGUCGUCAGGCAGAUUCUUCGCGGCUUGGGACGGUGUGCUCAAAAAUGACUUAGCCCACUUCUUUUGCUCAUCAGAAAAUACUGGCUUGGGCUCGGGCUCUCUUUUAUUCUUGCAGUCCGCCUUCCAUUUCUCAUGAUCAGCAGCCGCGGCCACGGCAGUUUCCUCGGCACUACAUUCCCAAGGCCUUGUGGGGAGAGGCUUCAGUGAUGGCUCCGGUACCUUUGUGGUCUUAGGUACAUAAGGGUCCGGGUUAAUAAUCCAGGACUGCUUCUUCUUCUUUGCCGGAGGUGGAUUGGGGGGCGGCGUCUAAUCACCCGCCGGACGAGGACUGGGGGGUGGCGUCUGAUCACCCGCCGAACGUUGUGGACUGGGGGGCGUCGGCUGACGUGACGGAGGUGUAGGUGAACCGCCACCACCGUAGGGGGGUGGACUUGUUGUCCUUGGCGCCUCGCCUGGAAACUUGAUAAACUUCUUUUGCCAUAGAAUGAAAUGGCGCUUGACAUCUCCAAGUCUUUUCUCCCCUUCAGGUGUAGCAAUGUCAAUCUCCAGGUCCUCAAACCCUUGGACUAUGUCCUCCACCGUGACACGAGCAUAGCCAUCUUUAAUGGGGUUGUUGUGGUGGAGUGCUCCAGGUAAACAUGGUAAAGCACUGCCGAUGGCUACCUUCAUGGACAUGUUCCCGAUAGGAUAAUACAGAUGACAUUCUUUCAUCUCCUUUAUAUCGUCCACGGGGUAGCGAGGAGGCUCCGGUGCAGUAAUUUCGACCACCAGAGGCUCUGGUGCAGUAAUUUCGACCACCAGAGGCUCCGGUGCAGUAAUUUCGAUCGUCGGUGCAUCUGCACCAGCCGGUGGGGCCUCCGUG
rnacentral:lncRNA from 1 species